GAUGAACGCUGGCGGCGUGCCUAAUACAUGCAAGUCGAGCGAACAGACGAGGAGCUUGCUCCUCUGACGUUAGCGGCGGACGGGUGAGUAACACGUGGAUAACCUACCUAUAAGACUGGGAUAACUUCGGGAAACCGGAGCUAAUACCGGAUAAUAUAUUGAACCGCAUGGUUCAAUAGUGAAAGACGUUUUUGCUUUCACUUAUAGAUGGAUCCGCGCCGCAUUAGCUAGUUGGUAAGGUAACGGCUUACCAAGGCGACGAUGCGUAGCCGACCUGAGAGGGUGAUCGGACACACUGGAACUGAGACACGGUCCAGACUCCUACGGGAGGCAGCAGUAGGGAAUCUUCCGCAAUGGGCGAAAGCCUGACGGAGCAACGCCGCGUGAGUGAUGAAGGUCUUCGGAUCGUAAAACUCUGUUAUUAGGGAAGAACAAAUGUGUAAGUAACUAUGCACGUCUUGACGGUACCUAAUCAGAAAGCCACGGCUAACUACGUG
rnacentral:rRNA from 1 species